CAGUAGCCACGGGAAUACAGAGGGUGCGAGCGUUAAUCGGAUUUACUGGGCGUAAAGCGUGCGUAGGCGGCUUUUUAAGUCGGAUGUGAAAUCCCUGAGCUUAACUUAGGAAUUGCAUUCGAUACUGGGAAGCUAGAGUAUGGGAGAGGAUGGUAGAAUUCCAGGUGUAGCGGUGAAAUGCGUAGAUAUCAGGAGGAACACCUGUGGCGAAAGCGGCUCACUGGACCAUAACUGACGCUGAGGCACGAAAGCUAGGGGAGCAAACAGGAUUAGAUACCCGCGUAGUCCCUGUCUCUUAUAA
rnacentral:rRNA from 1 species